UCUGCUCCCUCACGAUAAGGGUCAUAGAGCGUAUUAAAGAAGAAAGGGGUGGCUGGAGUUGUCAGGUUCAUAAUAUGCUGGUCCACAGCAUCUACCAAGAAACCUUUUUCAUCCUUGGCUGGAACACAGUCAUCAUCAAUCGAAACAAUGUACUUUUUACGUGAUAUGAGAAAGCCAAAAUACCUGCAAGAAUAUCCAGAGAAGAGAACAGAAGUGGAAGAGCCCACUACAUGAUCCAUAUGAGACUUAGUAUAAACAUCUACAUUAAAUCCUUCUGGUAUCUUGAGUUC
rnacentral:misc_RNA from 1 species